AUGCUGGAGGUAUCAGAAGUGCGAAUGCUGACAUAAGUAACGAUAAAGCGGGUGAAAAGCCCGCUCGCCGGAAGACCAAGGGUUCCUGUCCAACGUUAAUCGGGGCAGGGUGAGUCGACCCCUAAGGCGAGGCCGAAAGGCGUAGUCGAUGGGAAACAGGUUAAUAUUCCUGUACUUGGUGUUACUGCGAAGGGGGGACGGAGAAGGCUAUGUUGGCCGGGCGACGGUUGUCCCGGUUUAAGCGUGUAGGCUGGUUUUCCAGGCAAAUCCGGAAAAUCAAGGCUGAGGCGUGAUGACGAGGCACUACGGUGCUGAAGCAACAAAUGCCCUGCUUCCAGGAAAAGCCUCUAAGCAUCAGGUAACAUCAAAUCGUACCCCAAACCGACACAGGUGGUCAGGUAGAGAAUACCAAGGCGCUUGAGAGAACUCGGGUGAAGGAACUAGGCAAAAUGGUGCCGUAACUUCGGGAGAAGGCACGCUGAUAUGUAGGUGAAGCGACUUGCUCGUGGAGCUGAAAUCAGUCGAAGAUACCAGCUGGCUGCAACUGUUUAUUAAAAACACAGCACUGUGCAAACACGAAAGUGGACGUAUACGGUGUGACGCCUGCCCGGUGCCGGAAGGUUAAUUGAUGGGGUUAGCGCAAGCGAAGCUCUUGAUCGAAGCCCCGGUAAACGGCGGCCGUAACUAUAACGGUCCUAAGGUAGCGAAAUUCCUUGUCGGGUAAGUUCCGACCUGCACGAAUGGCGUAAUGAUGGCCAGGCUGUCUCCACCCGAGACUCAGUGAAAUUGAACUCGCUGUGAAGAUGCAGUGUACCCGCGGCAAGACGGAAAGACCCCGUGAACCUUUACUAUAGCUUGACACUGAACAUUGAGCCUUGAUGUGUAGGAUAGGUGGGAGGCUUAGAAGUGUGGACGCCAGUCUGCAUGGAGCCGACCUUGAAAUACCACCCUUUAAUGUUUGAUGUUCUAACGUUGACCCGUAAUCCGGGUUGCGGACAGUGUCUGGUGGGUAGUUUGACUGGGGCGGUCUCCUCCUAAAGAGUAACGGAGGAGCACGAAGGUUGGCUAAUCCUGGUCGGACAUCAGGAGGUUAGUGCAAUGGCAUAAGCCAGCUUGACUGCGAGCGUGACGGCGCGAGCAGGUGCGAAAGCAGGUCAUAGUGAUCCGGUGGUUCUGAAUGGAAGGGCCAUCGCUCAACGGAUAAAAGGUACUCCGGGGAUAACAGGCUGAUACCGCCCAAGAGUUCAUAUCGACGGCGGUGUUUGGCACCUCGAUGUCGGCUCAUCACAUCCUGGGGCUGAAGUAGGUCCCAAGGGUAUGGCUGUUCGCCAUUUAAAGUGGUACGCGAGCUGGGUUUAGAACGUCGUGAGACAGUUCGGUCCCUAUCUGCCGUGGGCGCUGGAGAACUGAGGGGGGCUGCUCCUAGUACGAGAGGACCGGAGUGGACGCAUCACUGGUGUUCGGGUUGUCAUGCCAAUGGCACUGCCCGGUAGCUAAAUGCGGAAGAGAUAAGUGCUGAAAGCAUCUAAGCACGAAACUUGCCCCGAGAUGAGUUCUCCCUGACCCUUUAAGGGUCCUGAAGGAACGUUGAAGACGACGACGUUGAUAGGCCGGGUGUGUAAGCGCAGCGAUGCGUUGAGCUAACCGGUACUAAUGAACCGUGAGGCUUAACCUUACAACGCCGAAGGUGUUU
rnacentral:rRNA from 1 species